GACGAACGCUGGCGGCGUGCUUAACACAUGCAAGUCGAACGGAAAGGCCCUGCUUUUGUGGGGUGCUCGAGUGGCGAACGGGUGAGUAACACGUGAGUAACCUGCCCUUGACUUUGGGAUAACUUCAGGAAACUGGGGCUAAUACCGGAUAGGAGCUCCUGCUGCAUUGUGGGGGUUGGAAAGUUUCGGCGGUUGGGGAUGGACUCGCGGCUUAUCAGCUUGUUGGUGGGGUAGUGGCUUACCAAGGCUUUGACGGGUAGCCGGCCUGAGAGGGUGACCGGCCACAUUGGGACUGAGAUACGGCCCAGACUCCUACGGGAGGCAGCAGUGGGGAAUAUUGCACAAUGGGCGGAAGCCUGAUGCAGCAACGCCGCGUGCGGGAUGACGGCCUUCGGGUUGUAAACCGCUUUCGCCUGUGACGAAGCGAGAGUGACGGUAAUGGGUAAAGAAGCACCGGCUAACUACGUG
rnacentral:rRNA from 1 species